ACUCAAAGGAAUAGACGGGGGCCCGCACAAGCAGUGGAGUAUGUGGUUUAAUUCGAAGCAACGCGAAGAACCUUACCAGGGCUUGACAUGUAUUUGAAUAUCAGGGAAACUUGAUAGCUUUUCGGAGCAGAUACACAGGUGGUGCAUGGUUGUCGUCAGCUCGUGUCGUGAGAUGUUGGGUUAAGUCCCGCAACGAGCGCAACCCCUAUUGUUAGUUGCCAGUUUUAAGUAAGGCACUCUAGCAAGACUGCCGUAGAAAAUACGGAGGAAGGUGGGGACGACGUCAAAUCAUCAUGCCCUUUAUGUCCUGGGCUACACACGUACUACAAUGGAUGUAACAAAGAGAAGCGAAGUAGUGAUACGGAGCGAAACUUAAAAAAGCAUCCUCAGUUCGGAUUGAAGGCUGAAAUUCGCCUUCAUGAAGAUGGAAUUGCUAGUAAUGGCAGGUCAGCAUACUGCCGUGAAUACGUUCCCGGGCCUUGCACACACCGCCCGU
rnacentral:rRNA from 1 species